rnacentral:lncRNA from 1 species
AAGUCCAACGCUUUACGAGGUAAAUGGGUGUUCGGUGUUCCCAUAGACCUUGAACAUUAAAAUGAAAAAUUUCUCAAUAAAGACUCGAUUUUCAUGCUUCAUUUGGUGAAAGAGAUGUUUUAAGGAGACAAAAUUAGAGGAAGCAGAUAAAUUUUCUAUGAGAGAAUAGAAAGAUAAAUUUCUGAAUUUGUAAUGAGAGUAAUGAGAUAGAAAGAGAGAGAGAGGGGUUUAUGAUGAUGUUGUUGAAGUGAGUGAGGAAGUUUGUGGGAAAUAGUGUUGAAGAGUUUGACAUAGCAUGACAUGAAUGAAACAACAUUGGGAUUUGGUUUAGGAAAUGGUUUGUGUUGAACUUUGAAGUUUGAUGUUAAGCGCUGAAUUUAGCUUACAACUUUAAGAAGUGAGAAUGUUGUGUUGUGAGAAGAACUUACUCCAGUUUGUUGUGGUUCUUAUUUAUAUGGUUUGAUCUAAAUUUAACCAAUGUAAACAAAUUCCACCAAUAUUGAUUUAUGGUUUAGUUUGUUUUCUUUUUAGAUUUAAAAAGCUUAAGUGCAGGAAAGAAGAGUAUUGUAUGUUUGAACUUUGUACACUUUGUACGCUUAAUGAACAUCUAAGAUGAAGUGUUAUGAAUAAUAUUUUUAGUUGAUGUCUAUAAGUUUCAUUGGAGAAAAAUAGUGGAA